rnacentral:rRNA from 1 species
UACGGAGGGGGCUAGCGUUGUUCGGAAUUACUGGGCGUAAAGCGCACGUAGGCGGCUUUGUAAGUUAGAGGUGAAAGCCCGGGGCUCAACUCCGGAAUUGCCUUUAAGACUGCAUCGCUAGAAUUGUGGAGAGGUAAGUGGAAUUCCGAGUGUAGAGGUGAAAUUCGUAGAUAUCGGAAGGAACAUCAGUGGCGAAAGACGGCUU